rnacentral:lncRNA from 1 species
GGCCCUACAAUUUAGUAUGUUUACAGGUUCAUUUGAAUUCUAUUAAUCUUUAUUGUCCAUAAAAGGUUCAUUCAUCACAGGCACAUUCAUGUUGCGGAUGUGAGGUACAAUAAAAUACACAGCAAGCAGACAGAGUGGGAACUCCAUGGUGACCUGACAGAGGGUCACCAGUACUGCAACACAAGGAAGGACACACAUAUAUACCAGGCCCUAAUCCCCUGGACUCAAAAGAGGAAGUGGAAGUGAAAGAGAGGCAGCCCUUACAGAAUUACCCACCAAACCAGGACCAAGCAGCGGAGGAGGAAGGAGCAACAGGAGAACAGCUUGAUGGACUCGUGGACAUGGGAACAGAUACUGGACGGAGAGGGACCAUGGACUCAGGCUGGGGAGUAUCGCCUCCCGCAGUGGGAGAUUGAAGCGGCGAGAGCGGAGAGGCGAUAUUACGAGGAGAGAGAGCGCAACGAGCACGAGAGGCAGCCCCAAUAAUUUUUUUGGUGGGGCACACGGAACAGUUGGCGGAGCCGAGGUCGGAACCAGAGCCAGUCGGGUUGACAUUGGAGGUGAGCGAGGGGUACGAGGCAGAGACUGUGAAGGAGUUAAUGGGGAGAUUAAAGGAGAGAGAGAUGAGAGAGCUGCUAGUUUGGUGCAUAAGGCACGGCAUUCGCCCUACGGAGCGUGUCGUUGAAAUGAUGUCACCUGAGGCAGCUCUCCAUACUCGUCCUGAGGUGCGUGCUGGUUGUCUGGUGAAGACUGUGCCUGCGCCCAGAAACAGGCCUCCUGCAUGUCUUCCCAGCCCUGCACGUCCUGUGCCUACGCCCAGAACCAGGCCUCCUGCAUGUCUUCCUAUCCUGGUCAAGCCCGUGCCUCCUCCACGGAC